rnacentral:rRNA from 1 species
AUUGAACGCUGGCGGCAUGCCUUACACAUGCAAGUCGAACGGUAACAGGUCUUCGGUUGCUGACGAGUGGCGAACGGGUGCGUAAUACAUCGGAACGUGCCCAGACGUGGGGGAUAACGAGGCGAAAGCUUUGCUAAUAUCGCAUACGAUCUAAGGAUGAAAGCAGGGGACCGCAAGGCCUUGUGCGUUUGGAGCGGCCGAUGGCAGAUUAGGUAGUUGGUGGGAUAAAAGCUUACCAAGCCGACGAUCUGUAGCUGGUCUGAGAGGACGACCCGCCACACUGGGACUGAGACACGGCCCAGACUCCUACGGGAGGCAGCAGUGGGGAAUUUUGGACAAUGGGCGAAAGCCUGAUCCAGCAAUGCCGCGUGCAGGAUGAAGGCCUUCGGGUUGUAAACUGCUUUUGUACGGAACGAAAAGGCUCUGGCUAAUACCUGGGGCACAUGACGGUACCGUAAGAAUAAGCACCGGCUAACUACGUG